UACGUAGGGUGCGAGCGUUAAUCGGAAUUACUGGGCGUAAAGCGUGCGCAGGCGGUUCGUUAAGUCAGCCGUGAAAGCCCCGGGCUCAACCUGGGAAUUGCGCUUGAAACUAGCGGGCUUGAGUGUGGCAGAGGGGGGUGGAAUUCCACGUGUAGCAGUGAAAUGCGUAGAGAUGUGGAGGAACACCGAUGGCGAAGGCAGCCCCCUGGGUCAACACUGACGCUCAUGCACGAAAGCGUGGGGAGCAAACAGG
rnacentral:rRNA from 1 species